rnacentral:rRNA from 1 species
GACGAACGCUGGCGGCGUGCCUAACACAUGCAAGUCGAGCGAUGAAGUUCUUCGGAACGGAUUAGCGGCGGACGGGUGAGUAACGCGUGAGCAAUCUGCCUUACACAAAGGGAUAGCCUCGGGAAACUGGGAUUAAUACCAUAUGACACUUGGUAAUCGCAUGAGGACCAAGUCAAAGAUUUUAUCGGUGUAAGAUGAGCUCGCGUCUGAUUAGCUAGUUGGUGGGGUAAAGGCCUACCAAGGCGACGAUCAGUAGCCGGCCUGAGAGGGUGAACGGCCACACUGGAACUGAGACACGGUCCAGACUCCUACGGGAGGCAGCAGUGGGGGAAUAUUGCACAAUGGGCGCAAGCCUGAUGCAGCGACGCCGCGUGAGCGAAGAAGGUUUUCGGAUCGUAAAGCUCUGUCCUCUGGGAAGAAAAAAUGACGGUACCAGAGGAGGAAGCCCCGGCUAACUACGUG